rnacentral:lncRNA from 1 species
GCUAAAAAAGAAAAUACACCGCAUCUUUGAUUAUUUAAAAAAGCGACCCGUGUAUGGCAUGCCCUGGAGGUAUUUAGAGUUUCAUUGCCACGAAACUCCAUUCUGCUGUUUGGAGCCGGACAAUAUAGAAUGGGUACAUUUGCUUUGGAAGUGAUACAAGUCAGUGCAAAAUAAGUAAACAAUUCAAUAUAGCUAAGUAUGUAUUUAUGAACUUUUCUCAUCAUUUUCCCAUUAUUUCGUCUUACAAAAAACAAGGAUUCGGCAAUGUUACAAUAACAGAGAAACAAAGGCACACAAUUAAUCGCAACCACUUUUAGAAUAUAAUGUUAUAAUUGUCUUUUAAUGUCGUAAAAUAUACAUUGUUCCAUGAA